CCCUUAGAUGUUCUGGGCUGCACGCGUGCUACAAUGGCGUUUCCAGCAAGUCUGCGAACCCGAGAGGGCCAGCGGAUCUUCGAAUUGGCGUCGUGAUCGGGACAGUCGAUUGCAAUUAUUUGACUCAAACGAGGAAUUCCUUGUAAUCGCGAUUCAUCAUAUCGCGCUGAAUAUGUCCCUGCCCUUUGUACACACCGCCCGUCGCUCCUACCGAUUGAGCGAUCCGGUAAAUGUUUUGGAUUGGUGCCGGGGCGGCUAGCUGCCGGUCGCUACGAAAUUUUGUGAACCUUAUCGCUUAGAGGAAGGAAAAGUCGUAACA
rnacentral:rRNA from 1 species